CUGUUACACGCAGUUGCUGCCACCGGCUGAACCAGGCACCAGUCCCUGGCCCACUGGAAAAAAAAUUGCCGGUCCGCCACAUCAGAUAGUUUGAGAAGCACUGUUCUAGGUCAUUGAUGAAAACUUUGUACAAAACCGGUCCCAGGACCGACUCCUGAGGCACUCCACUUGAUACCACCUGCCAACUAGACAUUGAGACAUUGAUUACUACCCUUUGAGCCCAAUGAUCCAGUCAGUUUUCUGUCUACCUUACAGUGUAUUAAUUUAACCGUACUUCCUUAGUUUAGGUAUGUAUCCAUCUAAUUGUGUUCAACCAGCAGUGUCUAUUGAUUCAAAUCUUGCCCCCGACAUUGAGAUGGGGUUAUACCAGUGGUUGCCCUUUUUUGUGGGGUAAGGCUCUCCAACAGGAAUUGCUGGUUGAAGUCAAUUAAGUCAGGAUCUAGGGGCAGGGGCUCUGGACAUGUAGGAGUCAGUCUUGCAGAAGUUUGACAUCAAUGAACUCAGAAGCUGUGUGCCUCUGUUAGCUGGUGGGGGACUCCAGCAUUCAGAUCUUCUUAAGCUGAUUACAGAACUUGUGUGGUCCCAGACAGGUUUCCUCGCACUGGGGUUCAGCAAGGUAGAUUUCUGAAGAUGUUAUGAACUCCCCCUGUCACCCUGUGGUUCACUCGCCUUUCUGGAAGCAGAUGGUCUAAUGAAGUGGUGCUCAAUGUACGGCCUGCAGGCUGAGCUGGCCUACAGAGCUUUGAUAUCUAACCCACAGAACUGUGUCAUCUUGUCUGUGGAGCUCCCCACAGGCCCAGAAAUAUGGCAGGGGGAGCAGUGGUAGCAUUAAUUGCUCCCCAAACCUUGGCCAUUAACACUGCCACCAUCCCCCCGCAACCAAAUUUCUGGAGCUGUGAAGAGUCCCAAGAGCCAGAUGAUAUGGCUCCAUGUACUAGGUCACGUCAGUGCACAGGGUCAGCUCAUGGCCAGAGCCAGCAUAUAGAGUUGGGUUGGUACGUGGGUUCAAGGCAUGGUUGGACCUGAUGUGUGGUGUUGGGCCAACAUGCAGAAUUGUUCUGCAGUCAGCUCCAAUGCACCAGGCUGCAUCUGCAAACCAACCCCAUGCAUGGAUCUGAUGCUCUGGAUAACAUCCAUGUGCCAGCCCCAUGCUGGACCCAGGCCAUGGACUGACCCUGCAUGUGGGACUGAACCAGUUGUAUGCUACUCAUACAGCUGUAAGGCCAGGUAGGUUGAGCACAGAUCCAGUGCAAUAUCUGUCUGGCAGUGCUCUCGCAAUCCCCACAGAUUCCCCCAGGAGGUGGGUGGUGCAUGCUGGGCCUCUCCUGGCCAACCCUGGCUAAUUGGCUCCCCCAGCUCUUCCAUGUAUGUUGCUGAAGCUUGUUUUAAGAGCCAGGGUGAAUUGGCUAUGUUCUAGAGCAGUGAGGGCCAACCUUUUGGGCAGCCAUGCCACAAAUUAAGGCACAUACCCUCGCCAAGUGCCACUGAUCCUUUUCCCUGCCUGAUCUGCUGCUUUGCUUUUUGAUCCCUGCCUUAUCUGCCCCAUGCUCCCUGCCCCCUCCCUGAUCUGCCAUGUGCCACAGACAGAGGUUGCUCAUACUACUUGUGACACCUGCGCCACAGGUUGACCACCCCCAUUCUAGAUGGAUAUACCUUUCAGUAGACAGGCAGUGGCCUGUAUUGGAGAGUGUGUGGUUUAUUUUUUGAAUGCCCUAUGGGACAGGCUGUGGCAUCACUCUGUGGCUCCCAUGAAUGUCAGGGCUCAGCAUGGCCAUUGCUUUCCAUCCUGCUUGAAUACAUUUAAGGAAGUUACAGUCAAAGAUAAAAGUAGGUCUCUUCCCAUUAAUGCCCUCCUUUUCAGACUUGGUGGCAGGCGUUCUGUGACUGAUCAGGACUCCCUCUUGGGUGUGGUCAUGUGGAGUAGGACACAGUGAGAGUGAUGGAUGAGAAACAGAGGGGAUAGGGUGGAUAUGUACACAAGGAGUAGGGACAUGGAUCACACUGUAUGAAAUGAUGGUAACUUCCCCAUGGUAGUGCCCCUGAUGACCAUGGGGAAACACCUCUUAGUGCCAGCAACAGAGGAAUUCCCAUGUAGAGAGGUGACAUGAAGUGCUGCUUUGCCUUGACCUCCCAGUUGGGCAAGCCAUGGGCAAUAGGAGAAUAUGGAGUUUGUUUCUCUUACUGAGAAACUCGAGUGCCUCAGUGUAAGACUUGAGUGGGUCCUAGGCACCGAAGUGCUUGUAAGGAAUAAUAGUGCCCUGUGAAUCUCUGUGCCCAGCACUGUUAAUUGUUGCCACCAGCAAUGUCUCAGGAGUAGCUGGGUAAUGCCCAAUCCUCCACCCAAAGCAACUACUCCACUCAGUUCCCCAACAAGCUAGGGAACAAAAGGGUGUUGACAACAGUCCAAGAAACUCAGGCAUCCCACGCAAGCUGGGAGUGGGGGGCUCUGAGCAGGCAGAGGCCAGUACAUGAUGCUAAGUGACUCCGGGCUGAGCCUGUCAGUGUGUUAGAUGGUAGGGGCAUAAUAUCCUAGUGAGAGAGGAGCCAGAUGGGAAAGGUAAGGAAAGACCAUGCUCUUGCCUUUUGCCUUCCCACUUGUCUCCUGGUUAGCUGCAGGGUCAAGAACAAACAAGCUAAAUGUCCUGAGAUUUGCAUACUGGACCAUACAUUUAGGAAGGUAUCCAUUGAUUUCAGUGGCACAGGAGCAGGCCUGAUGGCACUGUUUUUCCCACCAGCACAUGCAUACACAGGUGAGCACAGAGUUCUUGCCUACUGGCAGGGAUUCAACAGGAUCCCUAGUGUUCUGUCUACCCCUUACCCUGGAAUAAGACUGCCUGGCUCCCAAACCAUAUCCUUACAUUUGAAAACACAUCUCCACCUCUUGGCUUACACAGUCCAUCUGUCCAUCCCAUCCCCACAAAGCUUCCCAGUUCCAUGUGAUCAGGAAUCUUCAGGUUGUGCCAAAAGCCAGAUGUUGACUUUUUUUUUUUGCUGUGUUGGGCACCUUCUGAAUUUAAAAGGAGAGGAGAACUGGGGAGGGGGGUGGCACAGGAAACAAAAUGUGAGUGGAUAUUUUUAUGGCACUGUGAUUAAUGAAAUAAAUACAAGAUUUCUUGGGUUAAUACAUGCAAAUUAAGUAAAUAAGAGACGUAUUUUUUUAUCCAGAGUGGUGCAGGCUGGAAAGCUUUUUAUAAAUACUGUAUAUAAGAGUAGAUUUUUUUAUGUAUUCUGUGUUGCUCCUGGUAGCUCUGUAUAGUGUAUAUAUAUAUAUUUCACACUGUUGAUGGAGAGGGACCACUCUGCAAAAUGACCUGCCCAUGCUAAAGAGAAUAUAUGACUAGAAAGGGAAGUCAGGCCUUUCUGUGGCCCAGUGGCUGCUGUAACAAGGGUUGGUAGACACAGGUGGGAUGGUUCAGGUAGGACAGGCAUCUAUUUAGAAUGGUUUAGGAACUGUGAAUCCUGCAUCUAUGCAGGGAUUUGAACUGGAUGAACUUUGAGGUCCCUUCCAGUCCCAAAAUUCAAUUAUUCUAUUCAUGGGUAUAAUUUUUGCUUAGGCUGUUAAAAACCAGCAGCAUCAGCAUUGUAAUCCAUGUUCUAGCUGACCACUGCAAUAGGCUGUGGCUCAGGCCCCUACCUAAGAACAGGGGAGUUCAGGAGUCCAAGAAAAGAUGGUAGCAAAUUGAAAGGGUAUCUUUUUAGGUAGCUUUAAGUAAUCUCUGUGGGGACCCAGGCAUGUGAGGGACUGAGUACUUGGACAAGGACCUUAGUAGCUAAGCUCAGGUCCCCCUGAUUUUCCCAGCUCAGUUCAGUGGGGGUUUGCAGUGUGAUGUGAAUGCUUGUCUCUACCUGUUUGCUUCCCCAGUGGAUGGCAAGUCAGGUAUGGUGGUACCUCUCCAUCUCCAGUAGAACCCGCUGUCUGUGAGGCAGCUCAGCAGGACAGGUGGCAGGUGGCAGGAUUGGAGGAUUUUGCUUUCCCUCUACAUUUGGGACUCUCCUGCCUUCUGCCAGGCUGAACCGUUUGCGAUAUCUCUGUCCCCAAGCCUCUGUCGCCUUCAAUGUUUGAUGUGAAGGAUGAGAUAAGAGGGCAGGGCUGUGUUUCUGUGACAUGUGGUAGGGCUAGGGGUCAGUUUUAAAUUAUAUGUUGAAAUUAGAUCUAUAUUUGGAAAAGAAAGAAAAAACCCUUUUUAAACAACAAUAAAGAAAACAUGAAACUUCCAUAGUCUUGCGUGUUUCCCUGACGUAGGCUGCUCAGCUCACAAGGCUAGGAUGGGGGCUGCCUUUCAGAGGGAUCAAAUUGAAGCUCUCAGCCAGGAUGAGCUGGUUUGGCUCCCCCUCAUGGACACAAUGCACCUUGUCUGAACUGGAUACAUGAACACUGGAAAUGAAGGGAUCGUCUCAGGACACCCAUCUCUCACCCUGCUGGGAGUGGGGAGGGGCAAAGAGCUCUCAAGGCCCCUCUCUUUCAUCCCUCUGCUGGCACAGAGAGAGGCUAGGCAUAGGUAUGGGGUGCUGGAUGCCUCAUAAUUUGCAAUGUACAGCAAAUUACAAUUUUCCCAGUACAGCUGGAAAGUGCUGGCCUCAUCCAGAGGGGCAAGCAGCUGGUUCGUAUUACUGCAGUGCACCAAGCCUACCAUGAUGUGUGGCAGAUAGGAAGAUCAGCACUUUUCUUCUGUUCUUGUGUCCCCAUGGGAGAGGGGAAGGGACCCUGUUCCCAGCCUUCUGGAACGCUGCUGGAUCAUCCUGCACCCUCCCUCUUCCUCUGGCGAGGUCCAGCCCACAGCAAGGAUCGUCCACCUGCAGCCCUGUGAGGAGAAAGGUCCCAAAACCAGUUGUUUGCACCAUUCUCUACAGUGCAAAACAGCACCCUUUGUGCCGGGCACGGACAGUGGGGUUAGCUGUGACUCCUCUCCCAACUUGUCUUGCCUGACAGGACCCCCAGGUGUUUCUGCUUCAGUACAGAGCUGAGAACCAACUGCAGAACUGGGCUCCAGCUCUGGAUGCCCAAUACCCCUGACCCUCCUCCUCUAUAAAAUGCUCUGGUGUACAUGGGGUAGGCCUGUGCCCAUGGGAGGGCCAGCUGGGUGUAGUCUGUGAGAGUCCCUGAGAGGAGAAUGGGCCUCAGCACUGCUUCCUGCCCCAACCAAAGUCUUUGUGCUGACUAGCAACCAUAGCUCAGAUUCCAUGCUGGCCUCAGCCAUGGAGGGAGCCCAGGCACAUCAGUCGGUACUGGGUGGGGGCCCCUGCCUGGCAGCCCCUGUGCAACGUGCAGUGGCAGUAGCCAGUCUCCACUGAAGCUAGAGGGAAGCUGGGUGGGGUGGGCUCUGCUGAGAGAAGGAGGAACCCAAUGCAGCGCCAGUGGCUAUCAGGGCAAAUGCCCACAUGUUGCUGAGAUGGGGGCACAGGGGAAGCGGGGAGAUUGUAUCAUGAUUUUGGGGGAGGGUCUGGCUUGGCUGCCCCAGCUGUGGGGGCCUUUUCUGGCCAGUGGAACGCUCCUCCCUGCCCUCACAGGAGCUGCUCUAAUUAAAGCACCUGCAGCAUCUCAUGUAUUCAGCAUCCCACACUUCAAAAUGGUGAUGGGGGCCACUUUAACUAAAGCUGGUUCAACAAGCUUUAGUUAAAGCACUGCUGCCACCAUUUCGAAGUGCAGGGACGCUGAACACACAUGAUGCCGAGGCUGCUGGAGUGUGCUAAUCACUAUGCUCUGGCAGACUUGAUGAAUCAAGUCUGCUCUGACACAUCCUAAUUUAAACACAUCAUAGCAGGUGUUGGGCACGUGUAUAGGGUGGCUCCAUUGCCCCCAUCCCUCCCCCUCCAGCUCCACAGGCUGUGCUGAGUGAGCGAGGGGACGAAGAAAAGUGACCAUGACUUGGUUAGGUGCAAAGCACAGAGGGAGACAGCUCUGGACUGAGGGUGACUGAAGCUGCCAGGAGAUGCUGACUGAGGGCCUGGCUGGGAAUUGCUGUUGCCCUGCAAGCUGCCGGUUGAAUGCCAUUUGUUGAUGUAUGAGCAUGUUGCACCCACCCAGCCCUCAGAUGGGGAAGCAGAGGAACUGGGGCAGUGGCAGCUCCUGCCAAGAGAUGAACCUAGAUGAACCCUUAUACGAAGGGGUACUUUCCACAUCCGCUGGUGUACAUUGAACAUGCUUCAUUAAAGCCUCCCUCCCCACUUCUUUGUUGAUUCCUUUAAAGUGCUGUGUACACACACUGUGUCAGCCUAAUUGCCACUAGUUUAGUCCUCAUUAAAUUCCUGGAACUGGGGCAUGACAAAAAGUAUUUUUGCCUCAUUAGUAAGACUUUAAAAACAAUGCCAAUUGGGAGGGCUAGAGAGCACCAAAACAGAGAAAGGCCUCCAUCCUACUUAGAUCUGCAUGCAAUGAUUGUCCUGGGUGCAAUCUCUGUCAUCUAGGUGGCCUGCAGUCCGAUGGGACCUGGAACCUGAGCUCCCUGUGCUGUGCUGCCACAUGUCAGGAAUGAGAUGUGGGACACAUCGAAGGGAUGGGAGGUACUUUUUCCCUACCGUGGCCCAUCCUCCCUGCUAGGUCACUAUAACAACUCCUCAAAAUGGGGGAGAGCUCUUGGGCCUAUCAAGGCCUCAGCAGUGAGACCCUUUAGGUAGCUAGUGCCCUCCCAGUGGGUUAGCUUGUCAUGCUUGUGUCCUAUAAAUAGGCAAGGACAUACAACUACCCCAUGUCACAACCCAAAGUUGUGGAUUUUUUAAUUGUGUGUGCUUCGGCACCGCUAAAUUAUGUUCCCGCCGAAUUGGAGAUCUUUUGCACGACGGAGUGU